rnacentral:rRNA from 1 species
CAGCAGCCGCGGGAAUACAGAGGGUGCAAGCGUUAAUCGGAAUUACUGGGCGUAAAGCGCGCGUAGGUGGUUCGCCAAGUUGGAUGUGAAAUCCCCGGGCUCAACCUGGGAACUGCAUCCAAAACUGGCGAGCUAGAGUAUGGUAGAGGGUGGUGGAAUUUCCUGUGUAGCGGUGAAAUGCGUAGAUAUAGGAAGGAACAUCAGUGGCGAAGGCGACCACCUGGACUGAUACUGACACUGAGGUGCGAAAGCGUGGGGAGCAAACAGGAUUAGAUACCCCCGUAGUCCCUGUCUCUUAUAC